rnacentral:rRNA from 1 species
GCGAGGUUUAGCAAAUCUCUUAAAGCCGUUCUCAGUUCGGAUUGUAGGCUGCAACUCGCCUACAUGAAGUCGGAAUCGCUAGUAAUCGCGGAUCAGCAUGCCGCGGUGAAUACGUUCCCGGGUCUUGUACACACCGCCCGUCACACCAUGGGAGCCGGAAAUGCCCGAAGUCAGUGGCCCAACCGCAAGGAGGGAGCUGCCGAAGGUGGAGCUGGUGACUGGGGUGAAGUCGUAACAAGGUAUC